AGGGUCUGGGAAGUAACGAUUUAGGAAAUAAAUACCUGGGGGUCGGGGCGGGUUAUUUGCCUUCGGAUCGGUCGGGUGGCAAGACUUCAAUGGGUGGGUUAAUAUGAACCAAUGAGAGAAUGCCACGUGUUUAAAAAAAUUGAGGAAAUAAAUUUUAACGGUGGAAGGGUAAAUGUGGCCCAAAAGUGUAACGGUGGGGGUAUAUUUGUUAAAGAAUGCAGACGGAGGGUAAAUGUAGCUUAUUUUGAAUAGUACAAGGGCAAAUCUGACCCUUAACCAUUGUUUUUUUGUUGAAAGUAUCAGUGUCAUUACUUAUAGUGGCAUCAAAGUUAGAAACGUUUGUAAAAC
rnacentral:lncRNA from 1 species